UACGAAGGGGGCUAGCGUUGCUCGGAAUCACUGGGCGUAAAGCGCACAUAGGCGGAUUUCUAAGUCAGGGGUGAAAUCCUGGAGCUCAACUCCAGAACUGCCUUUGAUACUGGCGACCUUGAGUCCGGGAGAGGUGAGUGGAACUGCGAGUGUAGAGGUGAAAUUCGUAGAUAUUCGCAAGAACACCAGUGGCGAAGGCGGCUCGCUGGGCCAUUGCUGACGCUGAGGCGCGAAAGCGUGGGGAGCAAACAGG
rnacentral:rRNA from 1 species